rnacentral:rRNA from 1 species
UUCGGAGUUAGUGGCGGACGGGUGAGUAACGCGUGAGAAUCUAGCUCUAGGUCGGGGACAACAGUUGGAAACGACUGCUAAUACCGGAUGUGCCGAAAGGUGAAAGAUUAAUUGCCUAGAGAUGAGCUCGCGUCUGAUUAGCUAGUUGGUGGGGUAAGAGCCUACCAAGGCGACGAUCAGUAGCUGGUCUGAGAGGAUGAUCAGCCACACUGGGACUGAGACACGGCCCAGACUCCUACGGGAGGCAGCAGUGGGGAAUUUUCCGCAAUGGGCGAAAGCCUGACGGAGCAAUACCGCGUGAGGGAGGAAGGCUCUUGGGUCGUAAACCUCUUUUCUCAGGGAAGAAGAAAGUGACGGUACCUGAGGAAUCAGCAUCGGCUAACUCCGUGCCAGCAGCCGCGGUAAUACGGAGGAUGCAAGCGUUAUCCGGAAUGAUUGGGCGUAAAGCGUCCGCAGGUGGCUGUGUAAGUCUGCUGUUAAAGAAUGAGGCUCAACCUCAUCAAAGCAGUGGAAACUACACGGCUAGAGUGCGUUCGGGGCAGAGGGAAUUCCUGGUGUAGCGGUGAAAUGCGUAGAGAUCAGGAAGAACACCGGUGGCGAAAGCGCUCUGCUAGGCCGCAACUGACACUGAGGGACGAAAGCUAGGGGAGCGAAUGGGAUUAGAUACCCCAGUAGUCCUAGCCGUAAACGAUGGAUACUAGGCGUGGCUUGUAUCGACCCGAGCCGUGCCGGAGCUAACGCGUUAAGUAUCCCGCCUGGGGAGUACGCACGCAAGUGUGAAACUCAAAGGAAUUGA